UGGCUGCAGCAUUCAGGUGUGCAGGAGCGGUGGGGAAGCCACGAACGAGAGAGCUGCAGGUCUGUUUUCAGCUAUUUUCGCUAUUUUAAUUGUAAUACUUGUUUUAAACUCACCGGUUUAAAUGUUAACUCUUAGGAGCCCCUUAUCGUAGCCAAAUCAGAGACGGACGACGGAGUGAGAGAGUAGAUGCAAAUCGUGGAACUGAUGUUCUUCCAUGUCCUGACCUGUGUGGAGCGCUACCUGGCUGUGGUUCAUCCCAUCACCUACCUGAGCCUGAGGAAAGAGAGAGGGA
ensembl:lncRNA